CGAACCCCCACAGUUCGGCUUAAUUAGGUCUCCCCUACCUCUUAGGAUUGCAGACGAGCUUCAGUCCUAGGCGAGCAUUCUAGGGAGAUGGCGGUCGCGGGGUCACAGUAGUCAUGCAGUCGAGGGCGAGUCGCAGGAAUGAGGAGUCGCGGGGGUAGCGGGACUGCUGAGUCGCAAGUGUGUGGAGUUGCGGAGGUCGAUAGGGUCGCUGGCGUGCGAUAUUGCGGUGUCAUGGUCUCGAGGUCGCGGGGUAGCAAGUUCGCGAAGUCACGAGGCCUUGGGUUCCCGAAGUCGAGGUGCUGUGAGGAUGCCGCGAGGCCGCGAGGAUGCUGCGGAUAUGCCGCGAGGCUGCGGGGAUGCCUGAUGUUGCGAGGACGCUGCGGGGAUGCCGCGAUGUUGUGAGGACACUGCGGGGAUGCCGCGAAGACUGUUGCAGGGCAGCUGCAAGGUCGCCGCGGGGCAGCAGAUGCAAGGCGUGCUCGCGGGGUCUAUUUGUCACGGGGUCGCGUGGUCAAAGUGUCGCUGGGUCGUGAACGUGAGAGCAGGCGAGACUUCGCGGGCACUGCAGGGGCAGUGAGGCUAACCAGGUAGCGUUAGC
rnacentral:lncRNA from 1 species